GGGAGACCUUGGCCUGUUCAAAAAGGGCUCUGAUUUCCCGCUCGUAGAGUCUGCCGAGGUUCUGGGAAUACACCUGGAAUGGGGAGAAAAGGCCAGAUGCUGGAGAUCCACUUGCAAAACUUCUCCAACUGACGCUCACAAUCCAGGCUGGCCUAGAUAUCCACAGUUUUGGGGGAUGAGUGGCAAGUUUUGACAGUGUCCAGUGGCAGAUGCUUGGGAUCAAAAGCAAGCCCGGAGCUCUGGUGCCUUCAGGAUUC